rnacentral:rRNA from 1 species
AGCAGCCGCGGUAAUUCCAGCUCCAAUAGCGUAUAUUAAAGUUGCUGCAGUUAAAAAGCUCGUAGUUGAAUUUCGGGACCAUCAUGUCGGUCGUGCCUAGGUACGUACUGGUAUUGUUGGUUUCUCCCUUCUGACGAACCACGAUGUCAUUUAUUUGGUGUUGUGGGGAAUCAGGACUGUUACUUUGAAAAAAUUAGAGUGUUUAAAGCAGGCUCACGCUUGAAUACAUUAGCAUGGAAUAAUGAAAUAGGACGUUUGAUUCUAUUUUGUUGGUUUCUAGGAUCGACGUAAUGAUUAAUAGGGAUAGUUGGGGGCAUUAGUAUUCAAUUGUCAGAGGUGAAAUUCUUGGAUUUAUUGAAGACUAACUACUGCGAAAGCAUUUGCCAAGGAUGUUUUCAUUAAUCAAGAACGAAAGUUAGGGGAUCGAAGACGAUCAGAUACCGUCGUAGUCUUAACCAUAAACUAUGCCGACUAGGGAUCGGAUGAUGUUAAUUUUUAAUGACUCAUUCGGCGCCUUAAC